rnacentral:misc_RNA from 1 species
GAUGAAGAACGCAGCGAAAUGCGAUACUUGGUGUGAAUUGCAGAAUCCCGUGAACCAUCGAGUCUUUGAACGCAAGUUGCGCCCGAAGCCACUAGGCCGAGGGCACGCCUGCCUGGGCGUCACACGCCGUUGCCCCCCCAUCUACUCCUUCGGGAUUGCGGGGGGGCGGAUGAUGGCCUCCCGUGCGCCUAGCCGCGCGGUUGGCAUAAAUACCAAGUCCUCGGCGACGCACGCCACGACAAUCGGUGGUUGCGAAACCUCGGUUGCCCGUCGUGUGCGUUCGUCGCGCAUCGAGGGCUCGAAAAAAUGCUCGGCUCCGGCUGGGCUUUCAACGCGACCCCAAGUCAGGCGGGGUUACCCGCUGAAUUUAAGCAUAUCAAUAAGCGGAGGA